AAAUUGAAGAGUUUGAUCAUGGCUCAGAUUGAACGCUGGCGGCAGGCCUAACACAUGCAAGUCGAGCGGUAGCACAGAGAGCUUGCUCUCGGGUGACGAGCGGCGGACGGGUGAGUAAUGUCUGGGAAACUGCCUGAUGGAGGGGGAUAACUACUGGAAACGGUAGCUAAUACCGCAUAAUGUCGCAAGACCAAAGUGGGGGACCUUCGGGCCUCAUGCCAUCAGAUGUGCCCAGAUGGGAUUAGCUAGUAGGUGGGGUAACGGCUCACCUAGGCGACGAUCCCUAGCUGGUCUGAGAGGAUGACCAGCCACACUGGAACUGAGACACGGUCCAGACUCCUACGGGAGGCAGCAGUGGGGAAUAUUGCACAAUGGGCGCAAGCCUGAUGCAGCCAUGCCGCGUGUGUGAAGAAGGCCUUCGGGUUGUAAAGCACUUUCAGCGGGGAGGAAGGCGAUAAGGUUAAUAACCUUGUCGAUUGACGUUACCCGCAGAAGAAGCACCGGCUAACUCCGUGCCAGCAGCCGCGGUAAUACGGAGGGUGCAAGCGUUAAUCGGAAUUACUGGGCGUAAAGCGCACGCAGGCGGUCUGUCAAGUCGGAUGUGAAAUCCCCGGGCUCAACCUGGGAACUGCAUUCGAAACUGGCAGGCUAGAGUCUUGUAGAGGGGGGUAGAAUUCCAGGUGUAGCGGUGAA
rnacentral:rRNA from 1 species